AUGAACGCUAGCGACAGGCUUAACACAUGCAAGUCGAGGGGCAGCACAGGUAGCAAUACCGGGUGGCGACCGGCGCACGGGUGAGUAACGCGUAUGCAACUUGCCUAUCAGAGGGGGAUAACCCGGCGAAAGUCGGACUAAUACCGCAUGAAGCAGGGGCCCCGCAUGGGGAUAUUUGCUAAAGAUUCAUCGCUGAUAGAUAGGCAUGCGUUCCAUUAGGCAGUUGGCGGGGUAACGGCCCACCAAACCGACGAUGGAUAGGGGUUCUGAGAGGAAGGUCCCCCACAUUGGUACUGAGACACGGACCAAACUCCUACGGGAGGCAGCAGUGAGGAAUAUUGGUCAAUGGGCGUAAGCCUGAACCAGCCAAGUCGCGUGAGGGAUGAAGGUUCUAUGGAUCGUAAACCUCUUUUAUAAGGGAAUAAAGUGCGGGACGUGUCCCGUUUUGUAUGUACCUUAUGAAUAAGGAUCGGCUAACUCCGUGCCAGCAGCCGCGGUAAUACGGAGGAUCCGAGCGUUAUCCGGAUUUAUUGGGUUUAAAGGGUGCGUAGGCGGCCUUUUAAGUCAGCGGUGAAAGUCUGUGGCUCAACCAUAGAAUUGCCGUUGAAACUGGGGGGCUUGAGUAUGUUUGAGGCAGGCGGAAUGCGUGGUGUAGCGGUGAAAUGCUUAGAUAUCACGCAGAACCCCGAUUGCGAAGGCAGCCUGCCAAGCCAUGACUGACGCUGAUGCACGAAAGCGUGGGGAUCAAACAGGAUUAGAUACCCUGGUAGUCCACGCAGUAAACGAUGAUCACUAGCUGUUUGCGAUACAGUGUAAGCGGCACAGCGAAAGCGUUAAGUGAUCCACCUGGGGAGUACGCCGGCAACGGUGAAACUCAAAGGAAUUGACGGGGGCCCGCACAAGCGGAGGAACAUGUGGUUUAAUUCGAUGAUACGCGAGGAACCUUACCCGGGUUUGAACGCAUUCGGACCGAGGUGGAAACACCUUUUCUAGCAAUAGCCGUUUGCGAGGUGCUGCAUGGUUGUCGUCAGCUCGUGCCGUGAGGUGUCGGCUUAAGUGCCAUAACGAGCGCAACCCUUGCCACUAGUUACUAACAGGUUAGGCUGAGGACUCUGGUGGGACUGCCAGCGUAAGCUGCGAGGAAGGCGGGGAUGACGUCAAAUCAGCACGGCCCUUACAUCCGGGGCGACACACGUGUUACAAUGGCGUGGACAGAGGGAAGCCACCUGGCGACAGGGAGCGAAUCCCCAAACCACGUCUCAGUUCGGAUCGGAGUCUGCAACCCGACUCCGUGAAGCUGGAUUCGCUAGUAAUCGCGCAUCAGCCAUGGCGCGGUGAAUACGUUCCCGGGCCUUGUACACACCGCCCGUCAAGCCAUGGGAGCCGGGGGUACCUGAAGUCCGUAACCGCGAGGAUCGGCCUAGGGUAAAACUGGUGACUGGGGCU
rnacentral:rRNA from 1 species